ensembl:ncRNA C15B12.10 ncRNA
CUUCCAGAAAUAACAAACAAAUUAAUUGUUUCCAACCGAAACGAUGGCUAAAACUACUACGCCAUCUACAAUGAAAAGGUGGAUGGAGAGCAAAAAAAAACGCUGGUGAUUCAUCAUGUUCAUUG